ensembl:lncRNA
GUGAAACUUAAAAUGACACAUACAGUACAUAUCUGAAUUGGUGACCUUUUGUUCUUUAGUGAUUUGCAUUGUGCUACAAGAAGAAUUGUUAUGAUGCGCAACAUGAUGUCACAACAUUAAGAAAAAAAGGGUGGGCACACUGAUGAGGAAGGCAUGCUACACAUCCUUUGCACACCUUCAUUCAUAUUCUGUUAUCAUGCAGCCUGCAGUCUCUUGUGCAUUGAUACUGAUGUUUUCCCUGCAUCUUUGCUGUAAUGCAUUACAAAAUGGAACAUGCAACAACUUCACAGUGGCAUUUAUAGAGACUGCAGAAAAAGUGUCUUGCUUUAAGAUGAUGGAUGGACAUGGCCCAGUUUGUACAUCUCACAAUUCAACCCAGUCAUGUCAGAUAGACUAUAGAGAUGGCAAGACAUGCAUAAAGUGGCCAGUAGACACCGACAUCUUAUGUGUAAAAGAUUCUGAUGAGAUUCCUAACCAGCUAAAUACUGAUGAAAUCAACUGUGCCCAUGACCAAGAAUCUAUCAGUUGCAAUGGAGAGUACAAAUCUGACUCAGUCUCAGAAUCUGGAGAUUCUGCAUCAACCCUAUCAUUGAGCAUUCUUCUAAUUACAGCUGCUAUUACCGUUGUCCAGUGGGUGUCACUCUGACACUACUAAUAGUUUAUAAUAGUGCUGUAUAUAGUCAGGGGUGCACAGAAGUUUUUCAGCCUGGUUCUUAUAACAGCACUUUGAGAUUUGGUUUGGUCCUCACACUGCCCAUAGUGUGACCCGUUAAAUAUAACUAUUAGAAAAUACUUAAUAAUAGCGAUAAUAAUAUUAUUGCACUUUAUUUGUUUAGUUUUUUCAAUAAAAUAAUAAUCAAAAUAAUAAAGUGUGAUAAUACUAUAGUUUUUUAAAAUACAAAAUGUGUAUUAAAUAAAAAUACAAUUAUUUUAUACUAAACAUCAAAUAAAAUGCUAAUAUUUACUUUUUUAAAUAUGAAUUUUUCAUCAUUUUCCAACUUAAAAUCAACAAGCUUUUAUUCUGGCGCUGCGCUGCCGAUUGAAGCGCGUCAGUGAAUGAAAUGUCACAGUUUUGCAUUGUGCUUUGAAAAUGGCAGCAGAUAGCUUAGAAUAGAUUCAUGAUUUCAGUUCGAAUAGAAAUCUUAUACAUGUACAGUAUUACAGUUUGUCGAUUUAAAAUAGUAGGCUAAUUGUGCAUUAACAUAUGGUCGGUACGCAAAUAAGCAGUAUGAAAUUAUUUACACGGCGCCAUUUUUUAUUUUUAUUUUUGUCACGCAUGCGCACCACUUAUGUGCACCCCUGUAAGUGUAUAGUGCUCUAUACACUACUUUACUAGUUUAUAGAAUAGAUCGGCUACGUUACAAUACUUAAAAAAAAAGAAUGUUGAUGUGUUUGAAUAAACCAUCUAUAAUAAAAAUUGAAAUAUUCAGUAAAAAUAAGAAUUGUCCAUUAUUGUCC